rnacentral:rRNA from 1 species
GGCGAGUGAAGCGGCAACAGCUCAAAUUUGAAAUCUGGCCCCCGGGCCCGAGUUGUAAUUUGCAGAGGAUGCUUUUGGCGAGGUGCCUUCCGAGUCCCCUGGAACGGGGCGCCAUAGAGGGUGAGAGCCCCGUACGGUCGUGCCACCGAGCCUCUGUAAAGCUCCUUCGACGAGUCGAGUAGUUUGGGAAUGCUGCUCUAAAUGGGAGGUGUAUGUCUUCUAAAGCUAAAUACCGGCCAGAGACCGAUAGCGCACAAGUAGAGUGAUCGAAAGAUGAAAAGCACUUUGAAAAGAGGGUUAAACAGUACGUGAAAUUGUUGAAAGGGAAGCAUUCAUGACCAGACUUGGGCGUGGCGGAUCAGCCGGCGUUCUCGCCGGUGCACUCCGCCUGUCCAGGCCAGCAUCAGUUCGCCCCGGGGGGGAAAGGCUUCGGGAAUGUGACUCCUCCGGGAGUGUUAUAGCCCGCUGCGUAAUGCCCUGGGGUGGACUGAGGUCCGCGCUUCCGCAUGGAUGCUGGCGUAAUGGUCAUCAAUGACCCGUCUUGAAACACGGACCAAGGAGUCGUCUUCGUAUGCGAGUGUUCGGGUGUCAAACCCCUACGCGGAAUGAAAGUGAACGCAGGUGGGAGCCUCGGCGCACCACCGACCGAUCCUGAUGUUCUCGGAUGGAUUUGAGUAAGAGCAUACGGGGCCGGACCCGAAAGAAGGUGAACUAUGCCUGUGUAGGGUGAAGCCAGAGGAAACUCUGGUGGAGGCUCGCAGCGGUUCUGACGUGCAAAUCGAUCGUCAAACAUGGGCAUG